rnacentral:piRNA from 1 species
UCCUUGCAGCUGAGGUUCAUGUAGGUGGGC